CCGUGCACCGGCGGCGAGUGAAGCGGCAAAAGCUCAAAUUUGAAAUCUGGCGUCUUUGGCGUCCGAGUUGUAAUUUGAAGAAGGUAUCUUUGGGCCCGGCUCUUGUCUAUGUUCCUUGGAACAGGACGUCACAGAGGGUGAGAAUCCCGUGCGAUGAGAUGACCCGGGUCUGUGUAAAGUUCCUUCGACGAGUCGAGUUGUUUGGGAAUGCAGCUCUAAGUGGGUGGUAAAUUCCAUCUAAAGCUAAAUAUUGGCGAGAGACCGAUAGCGAACAAGUACAGUGAUGGAAAGAUGAAAAGAACUUUGAAAAGAGAGUGAAAAAGUACGUGAAAUUGUUGAAAGGGAAGGGCUUGAGAUCAGACUUGGUAUUUUGCAUGCUGCUCUCUCGGGGGCGGCCGCUGCGGUUUACCGGGCCAGCAUCGGUUUGGAGCGGCAGGAUAAUGGCGGAGGAAUGUGGCACGGCUUCUGCUGUGUGUUAUAGCCUCUGACGAUACUGCCAGCCUAGACCGAGGACUGCGGUUUUUACCUAGGAUGUUGGCAUAAUGAUCUUAAGUCGCCCGUCUGAAAACGUGAAACACA
rnacentral:rRNA from 1 species